CGUUUGUUUAAUGAUCCGUCUUCUGCAGUAGUGAGGGUGUUGUGUCAUCCUAGGACAGGCUUUUGGGAGAGGAGCCAAGAUGGCCAAAUAGGAACGGCUCUGGUCUACAGCUCCCAGCGUGAGCGACACAGAAGAUGGGUGAUUUCUGCAUUUCCAUCUGAGACUGGUGAAAAUAUAUUUAUGGACUGGUGCUUGGGAAUCACUACUUAGAAGAUAAAAAUAUGAUCUUCAUUUCUAAUCACUUAUAACUGUUGAAUAUCUUUAUUUUUUUCUAUCUAGAACUUAUGUUUAAAUCUGUUUUAAAAGUUUCAAAUAAAACUGUAGUUUCCUCCACAUUGAAGAAAACUUCAA
rnacentral:lncRNA from 10 species